rnacentral:rRNA from 1 species
ACGGGAGGCAGCAGUGGGGAAUAUUGGACAAUGGGGGAAACCCUGAUCCAGCGACGCCGCGUGAGUGAAGAAGUAUUUCGGUAUGUAAAGCUCUAUCAGCAGGGAAGAUGAUGACGGUACCUGACUAAGAAGCCCCGGCUAACUACGUGCCAGCAGCCGCGGUAAUACGUAGGGGGCAAGCGUUAUCCGGAUUUACUGGGUGUAAAGGGAGCGUAGGCGGCCAGACAAGUCAGAUGUGAAACCCUGGGCUUAACCCGGGGCCUGCAUUUGAAACUGUAGGGCUGGAGUACUGGAGAGGCAAGUGGAAUUCCUAGUGUAGCGGUGAAAUGCGUAGAUAUUAGGAAGAACACCAGUGGCGAAGGCGACUUGCUGGACAGAGACUGACGCUGAGGCUCGAAAGCGUGGGGAGCAAACAGGAUUAGAUACCCUGGUA